rnacentral:rRNA from 1 species
CACGGGGGGAGCAAGGCGUUGUUCGGAAUCACUGGGCGUAAAGGGCGUGUAGGCGGUCAGGUAAGUGAGAUGUGAAAUGCCCCGGCUCACCCGGGGACCGGCAUCUCAUACUGCUUGGCUUGAGUACGGGAGAGGAUGUGGGGAAUUCCUGGUGUAGCGGUGAAAUGCGUAGAUAUCAGGAGGAACACCGGUGGCGAAGGCGCACAUCUGGCCCGAUACUGACGCUGAGGCGCGAAAGCUAGGGGAGCAAACGGG